AUACUUGCCUGGCAGGGGAGAUACCAUGAUCAUGAAGGUGGUUUUCCCAGGGCGAGACUUAUCCAUUGCACUCCAGAUGUGCUGACCCCUGCGAUUUCCCCAAAUGUGGGAAACUCGACUGCCUAAUUUGUGCGGU
ensembl:snRNA U1 U1 spliceosomal RNA